rnacentral:lncRNA from 1 species
CACACACACACUCACACACACUCACACACACUCACACUCUCACAGUCUCUCUCUCUCACUCUCACAGUCUCUCUCUCUCACACACACACACUCACACACUCUCACUCUCACAGUCUCUCUUACACACACACACACACACACACACACACACACACACACACACACACACACACACACACACACUGGUUGCAUUGAUUUCAUCAUCAGAUUGUUUACCAUAACAUGGUAUUCAUUUAGAUUGAUAUUGAUCUAACUACCUUUUUACCAUGUCAUUUCUGGUGUGUUGUGGACUGUGAAAUACAGGUAUUUUUUAAUCACGUUGGUACUAUUUUCACAAGUACGUGGUGAAUUUUCAAAACUCCAAACUGGUAUCACUUGUAACGCAGCUAGUCUUACAUUCAAAACCUUUCAUUGUGCAUUAAUUUUGUUUGUUUGUAGACAUCAGUUCACCACACAACCAUUCCAUCCAAAAUAUACAUGUACUGUGAAAUAUAAUACCUUGGUUUAAUCACCAAAACACAACAUGAUGACAUCUUCUCAAUUUAGCUAUUUCAAAUCAGUUAAUCCAUAGUGCAGAAAUAUUUGGUAUUACGUUACUGCAUUGGUCAAUGCAGUUUUAGUACUGCAGGUUAGGGUUAGGUUAGGGUUAGUGGCAGGUUAGGGUUAGGUUAGGGUUCGGUUAGGGUUAGUAGCAGGUUAGGGUUAGGUUAGGGUUAGGUUAGGGUUAGGUUAGGGUUAGUGGCAGGUUAGGGUUAGGUUAGGGUUAGUAGCAGGUUAGGGUUAGGGUUAGGUUAGGGUUAGUGGCAGGUUAGGGUUCGGUUAGGGUAGGUUAGGUUAGGGUUAGGUUAGGGUUAGUAGUAGGUUAGGGUUAGGUUAGGGUUAGUAGCAGGUUAGGGUUAGGUUAGGGUUAGUAGCAGGUUAGGGUUAGGUUAGGGUUAGGUUAGGGUUAGGUUAGGGUUAGUGGCAGGUUAGGGUUAGGUUAGGGUUCGGUUAGGGUUAGUGGUAGGUUAGGGUUCGGUUAGGGUUAGUAGCAGGUUAGGGUUAGGUUAGGGUUAGUAGCAGGUUAGGGUUAGGUUAGGGUUAGGUUAGGGUUAUUAGCAGGUUAGGGUUCGGUUAGGGUUAGUGGCAGGUUAGGGUUAGGUUAGGGUUCGGUUAGGGUUAGUGGUAGGUUAGGGUUCGGUUAGGGUUAGUAGCAGGUUAGGGUUAGGUUAGGGUUAGUAGCAGGUUAGGGUUAGGUUAGGGUUAGGUUAGGGUUCGGUUAGGGUUAUUAGCAGGUUAGGGUUCGGUUAGGGUUAGUGGCAGGUUAGGGUUAGGUUAGGGUUCGGUUAGGGUUAGUGGUAGGUUAGGGUUCGGUUAGGGUUAGUAGCAGGUUAGGGUUAGGUUAGGGUUAGUAGCAGGUUAGGGUUAGGUUAGGGUUAGUAGCAGGUUAGGGUUCGGUUAGGGUUAGUAGCAGGUUAGGGUUAGUUUAGGGUUAGUAGCAGGUUAGGGUUCGGUUAGGGUUAGUAGCAGGUUAGGGUUAGGUUAGGGUUAGUAGCAGGUUAGGUUAGGGUUAGGUUAGGGUUAGUUUAGGGUUAGGUUAGGGUUAGUAGCAGGUUAGGGUUAGUAGCAGGUUAGGUUAGGGUUAGUUUAGGGUUAGGUUAGGGUUAGUAGCAGGUUAGGGUUCGGUUAGGGUUAGUAGCAGGUUAGGGUUAGGUUAGGGUUAGUUUAGGGUUAGGUUAGGGUUAGGUUAGGGUUAGUAGCAGGUUAGUGUUAGGUUAGGGUUAGUAGCAGGUUAGGGUUAGGUUAGGGUUAGUUUAGGGUUAGGUUAGGGUUAGGUUAGGGUUAGCAGCUAGUUAGUUGAAAUGUUACUGAGAGUCUGUAGAGCGUCUACAUGGGUGGACUAUCCAAAUAAA